rnacentral:tRNA from 1 species
UAUUUGAUGGUGUAGUUAAGCAUAAAAAGUUUUGAUCUUUUAGGUGGUGGUGGGAUUCCGCUUUAAAUAA